rnacentral:rRNA from 1 species
CCUACGGGAGGCAGCAGUGAGGAAUAUUGGUCAAUGGGCGCGAGCCUGAACCAGCCAAGUCGCGUGAGGGAAGACGGUCCUAUGGAUUGUAACCCUCUUUUGUCGGGGCGCAAAAGACGCCACGCGUUGCGUUCCGAGAGUACCCGAAGAAAAAGCCUCGGCUAACUCCGUGCCAGCAGCGGCGGUCAUACGGAGGAUGCGAGCGUUAUCCGGAUUUAUUGGGUUUAAAGGGUGCGCAGGCGGAAGAUCAAGUCAGCGGUAACAUUGAGAGGCUCAACCUCUUCGAGCCGUUGAAACUGGUUUUCUUGAGUGAUCGAGAAGUAUGCGGAAUGCGGGGUGUAGCGGUGAAAUGCAUAGAUAUCACGCAGAACUCCGAUUGCGAAGGCAGCAUACCGGCGCUCAACUGACGCUCAUGCACGAAAGUGUGGGUAGCGAACAGGAUUAGAUACCCUUGUAGUC